GGGCGCUUACACAUGCAGUCGUGCAGUACCGAUGGCAAGUYCUUACACGACGAGCUUUCGGUACAGCGGCGGUGGGGUGAGUAACACGUGAGUAGCUGUCCUAAGGAGGGGGAUAACGCCUGGAAACGGGUGCUAAUACCCCAUAUGCCUCGCAAGAGGUGAAAGUGUACUCGUUACAGCCUUAGGGUGUGCUCGCGGCCUAUCAGCUAGUUGGUGAAGGGUACCGGCUCACCAAGGCUAAGACGGGUAGCCGGCCUGAGAGGGUGUACGGCCACACUGGAAUUGAGAUACGGUCCAGACUCCUACGGGAGGGAGCAGUGGGGAUUCUUGGGCAUUGGGCGAAAGCCUGACCCAGCGACGCCCGGUUUGGGGAUGAAGCCUUCGGGGGCGUUAACCCAUGUUGUUAGGGGACAAGAAAUGUGACGGUACCCUACCAAGAAAGCCCCGGCCAACUACUUGCCAACAGCUGGG
rnacentral:rRNA from 1 species